CAACGUAGCUGAAUCAGCUGGCUGGAUGGGCAGAACCACGUUACAAAUCCCUGAGGUGUGACUGCUCAGCUUUAGCUGCUGGCACACAUUUUCUAGACCUCUCUACCCUCAGGCAGCAGGACACAGGAGAACUGGCCUGUGUUAAGGAGCACUUGGCCUUACUUCCUGCCUGCCUUGUGACUCCUACGCUGACUGCUUGUGCUUACAAAGAGAAGUCUUUCAUUCAACUGAUUUUUAGGAACACCUAGCAUAUCUUAACCACAGUGG
rnacentral:lncRNA from 1 species